rnacentral:rRNA from 1 species
UGCCUACAACAUAGCAUUAAUGCAUUGGAUCCCAUUAGAACUCCGCAGUUAAGCGCACUUAGGCUAGAUUAAUACUAGGAUGGGUGACUACCCAGGAAGUCCUAUUAUUUUAAAUGC